CCUACGGGAGGCAGCAGUGAGGAAUAUUGGUCAAUGGCCGAGAGGCUGAACCAGCCAAGUCGCGUGAGGGAAGACGGCCCUACGGGUUGUAAACCUCUUUUGUCGGGGAGCAAAGCGGACCACGUGUGGCUCAUUGAGAGUACCCGAAGAAAAAGCAUCGGCUAACUCCGUGCCAGCAGCCGCGGUAAUACGGAGGAUGCGAGCGUUAUCCGGAUUUAUUGGGGUUAAAGGGUGCGCAGGCGGAGGUGCAAGUCAGCGGUAAAAUUGCGGGGCUCAACCCCGUACUGCCGUUGAAACUGCAUCCCUUGAGUGCGCGAGAAGUAUGCGGAAUGCGUGGUGUAGCGGUGAAAUGCAUAGAUAUCACGCAGAACUCCGAUUGCGAAGGCAGCAUACCGGCGCGCAACUGACGCUCAUGCACGAAAGCGUGGGUAUCGAACAGGAUUAGAUACCCCUGUAGUC
rnacentral:rRNA from 1 species